ensembl:lncRNA novel transcript
AACAGUCCUGCCAUUUUGCAGAUUGAAGGGAGAUUUAAGGCAACUGUGUCUUCCACCCGUGCGCUCAAGAGGUUGGGAUGUGAAUGGAGAGAGGGCUGCACCUGGUGGACCUAAUGUUCUGGGCAGGGGAGUGGAGGUGGUGUAGACAGAAAAUCAUAAAACUCUCAGGAGAAGCCAAGAUCAGCGAUCCUCCCGUCUUGGCCCCCCAAAGUGCUGGGAUGACAGGUGUCAGCCUGUCCUGGAGUCCUCCAAGCCCGUGGGGUCUGAUGAGCACAGACGGCUCAGCUCUUCCUUGCUUCCAUACCCUUACAUAAAACUGGAGCUCGGCUUUCUCAGAGAGGAUGCUUUUAUUUGCCUGAGAUGCACCAUCUGUUACUGGCUCCGUUUGACCGAUCUCCUUGUUCAUCGUGGUCCAGGUCUGCACCUGACAGCUCUGAGUGCUGACCU